rnacentral:rRNA from 1 species
AUUGAACGCUGGCGGCACGCUUAACACAUGCAAGUCGAACGGUAACAUGAACUGUAGCAAUACAGUUUGAUGACGAGUGGCGGACGGGUGAGUAACACGUAGGAACCUGCCCAAGAGAGGGGGACAACCAAGGGAAACUUUGGCUAAUACCACAUAAACUCUAACGAGAAAAGUAACGCAAGUUACGCUUUUGGAGGGGCCUGCGUCCGAUUAGCUAGUUGGUAAGGUAAAAGCUUACCAAGGCGAAGAUCGGUAACUGGUCUGAGAGGACGACCAGUCACACUGGGACUGAGACACGGCCCAGACUCCUACGGGAGGCAGCAGUGGGGAAUCUUGGACAAUGGGGGCAACCCUGAUCCAGCGAUGCCGCGUGAGUGAAGAAGGCCUUCGGGUCGUAAAGCUCUUUAGUUUGGGAAGAAGUGUGGAGUAAUCCACAUUGACGGUACCGAAAGAAUAAGCACCGGCAAACUCUGUGCCAGCCGCCGCGGUAAGAC